AUACUUACCUGGCAGGGGAGAUCCCAUGAUCAUAAACGUGGUUUUCCCAGGGCAAGGUUUAUCCACUGCAUUCUGGAUAUGCUGACCUCUGAAAUUUCCCCAAAUGUGGGAAACUGGACUACACAAUUUGUGGUAAUGGGGGACUGAAUUCACGCUCUCCCCUG
ensembl:snRNA U1 U1 spliceosomal RNA